GCUACGGGGGGAGGGGCGGGGAGAGGGGGACGUGGCUGUCAGGCGGCCACCCGAGCCCCAGAGGACCAGAAAACAACACAGUGUGGCCUCCGCUGAGACUCAGAGCAGAGACCCGGAAAGCACUACGAGGGCCCGAGAAAGGUGCACGGCCCUGCACCCCCCCAAGUGGCCCAGCACCCCAUCCUCCUCCUCCUCCUCCUCCUCUUCCUCCUCCUCCUGCCGGUCAGCGAACCACAGAGAACAUCCCCACAUCUGCCUGAAGGAGAACCGCCUGCCCCUGUCCAAGACGCU